UCUUGGUUUAAUCUAUCAGACUUAUCUUGAUAAAAAGAGCGUUCUUCUUUAACAUCCUGUAACUCGUCUAGUGCAGACUGAAGAUCAUGAUUCAGAGCCUCAAUUUGUUCUCGAGCCUUCUCCAGUUGUUGAACAAGAUCCUCACGUUCAUGUGCUGCAAAGUGGCGAGCUCCAACUUCGUCAUCUCCAAGUCUUUGCUUUGCUAUUGUCAUUCGAAGGAGCUUAUUGUCCCCUUGUACUUCCCCGAGUCUCUGUUGAAGCUCCCUAAUCUCUUCUCCAAGGUGUUUAUUUUGAUCUUGAGCCUCACUCAGUAGUUGAGUAAGAUUUGCCUGUUUCCUCUUUUCAGGGGGAAGGGAUGGAUCUCCAUCAAUAAGCUCCCGGUACUUCUUUUUCAGAGACUGGUGUCGUUCUCGUAACUGGUUGGCCAUGAGCUUAUACUGGUCUCUUUCCUGUUGACAAGUGUCCAGCUCUUUGGAGAGGAUCAGCAAUGCCUCCUUUUUACUUUCCAGCUUCCUCUUGC
rnacentral:lncRNA from 1 species